GGGUGGGCGUACGUGCGACCUCGUCCGCUAUUUCCUGUCCUACUUCUGUCCUGCACACCUUCCCACGCACUACCACUGGCCACAGAGGAGCAUAAGGAUACCCUGAAUAUAUAGGCAGCAAGAACUCCCCGGGGGAUGUCUGAGAUAUUGAUUGUCUGCUGGUAAUCAUUCUCCCAAGACUGACGUCCUACCCUGAGCAGCUUCCUUUAGCCUCCCUCCCUUCACCUCAGACCCUCCACCACCACCACACCUUCAGGUCAUCCUUCUCGCCUCCUGCCGUCUGUAACCUGUCAUGAUAUUGCAAAAGAGGAAUGAGUUUUUUUUUCAUCUCUGUAAACAAUAAGAGAUAGUAAUGGAAUAAGGUGUAAGACAAGGUAUAACAUGGUACAGAAGGUAAUGUGGUAAGUGUAUAUUUAAUUGAAGGCAAGUUUUUUCUAUAUAAUUUCCAUGUAACAUUUGAAAAAAAUUACAAUAAACAUCCUUAUUUUUUUUAGCAUCUUUUGGUCUUAUGUUGUCACUGAGUAAAUAUAGGACCUGAGAUUCAUAUGAUUGCACAUAAAUCCUCAAUAGAUAAUUUCGUCUUCUAUAAUAUUCACAUCAGGAAGAGUCUGCUGUUGUUAUUUUUUUGUUUAACUAUGUAAAGCAAGAGGAAUCAACUGUCUGUGUGAUUUUUAUAUUUUCUUUGCAGCUUCAGUGACCCUCUCCUCUUCAGACAGCAAUCCCUCAUGACCCACAUUUCUUUCUCCUUCUAGCUAUGUCCCCUCGUCCUAGAAAUUUAAUCUCCCUGACUUCAAUUUCAACAUUUAAUUAACGUUUAGUUAGUAUUUCUUCCUUGCUCCACUACCAAGGCCUUGUUCAGUCCGUACACUAAUCUGCUUUCCUGUGUUCUCGCCUCCUCAAAACUUGUAAUGUGCCAUGCCGGACCUCCAACUUAUUAUUUUUGUUUUUCUUACAUCAGAGACGCUUCAUGGACAAUUGUAUUAGAGAAAAGGCCUGUUUGGAGUAUUAAUCAGGCCACCCACAAAAAAAUUCCAGGCAACACUUACCUUUCUUGGGCUGUGAGACAAAUCAAUUCACCCGGCCUGAGCAGGGCUUGAAUCAUUGCCUGCUGUGCCGUGAAACCUGGCAGCGCAGCACUGUAACCGACUGAGCUAUCGGAGUGGUGUGUGUGUGUGUGUGUGUGUGUGUGUGUGUGUGUGUGUGUGAGGCCACGAGAGAGCCACACAGAGGACAAUGCUUUCUGCCACAUACUUCCUCAGUCCAUCUUGCAGUUCAUUCUCACAACAAAUAUUCUUGCUAAACUUUCAGUGAUACUCUCACUUAUUUUUAAAAUAAAAUUGAGGCAGGAGAAGACUUGAAGCAACUGUUCACCUCAUAGCUGUUAUAUCAAAAAUAUGGUUAAACAUGAGUUCUAGAAGGAAACAGUCAUGUCGAGUCUGCUCCUGUCUUUAAUUUAUUGUAUAGACGGGGGAAAGUGUUGCACCCCUAGAGGGGAAAAUUUAGUAAGAAUUCAUGAAAAUUUGGUAUUGGAAAUCAUCAUGGAAUCAUUACAAUCACCUGAAUAGCAAUUUUGUAACAGCUCAGUCGAUUCUCAGAAUUUGUGGGUUAUUGUGGUAUUUACAUAACACAAUGGAUAUUUGUUUUACCCUUCUGAUAAACCAUGUGAGGCAUAAUUCAGGUGUUGGUGUUCACAAGGUUUUGGAGCAAAGCCUUCACCAGCAGCAAGGCGAGGAGCCAGUGUGGAUCCUUCUAUUGGUGGACACACAGAAGCCCUUUGGUAGAGAUCCAGAAAUCAUACCAAAGCUAUAUUUCUAAAAAAUAUUUAUUCAAUUUAAAAUUUUUCUUGACUCUGAGCUUGCUCCUAUACAUUUUUCUAUUUAUCUUUUAUGGAAAAUGUGACAUACACAUUUUACUUUAUCUAUUGAGCUUGUGGAAGAAAUGUGGGUUUACUGAACCUAUUUUUUAAGAUUGUUUUUAGGAGAUAUUGGUCAGUAACUUUUUGUGCACUCCAGUGAUGGUAGGUUUUCCUGAAGGGCCGAUGGUUAGCCUCAGGCUACUAGUGGCAGGGGUGAAUAUUUUUUUAAUGUCUCCAUUAUUACAGAAUUUUCUUGCUGGGCCUUUGCUGGGCCCUGGUGCUCUUCUUGACAUAAGUCACUGAAGUAGAAUUGAUAUGUGCUUAUCUAGACGGGAACUGAGUGGUCUUCAACUACUUGACAAUAGUUGAAAAUUGUGGCAAGACAUGAACUUGGGACUAAAGGCCACAAGUCAUCACUGCUGCCUUUUUGCCCUUUCCCAGUGAUAAGUUGUAGGAGAGAAUGGGGGAGAAUGAAUUCGUGGAGAGAGUGUAUGAGGGAAGGAUUGAGGGAGGGGGUGUCAGGGGAAAAUCACCUGUGAAGUGGAUCAGUAGGGUGAGUGAGUAUUGGAGCGAGAGAAUUGGAAGUAGCAGGAUUGAAUGUGCUGAGAGGGAGUGCCAGAACAGGGAGAGAUGGAGACACUUCUGCUGCAGCCACCCCCUGGAUGGAAGUCCCCAUGAGGGAGCAGGGUUUCGGAGAUAUAGAUAGAUAAAAGUUGUUGAAGAAUUGUAAUGACUUUCAACCCUGGGUGGGUGGCCUUAUUUCUUGUCAUGGAACUUGAUAUUGCAUCCUGCACAAAGUCAGUCAUGAACAUAAUUUUGUCUGUUCGAGUGGAAUCAUGUAAUUGAUUCUGCAUCACAAAGUUCUUCCAAUUAAUCAGUGUUCAGAGAAAGACUUUGGGCCAUGCUGGCGUUUUAUUGCCGCUGCAACCACAGUCAGUGUUUGGCAAUGCAUUUGAGGUGACGUCCAGACUCUUAUUCCACCUUCCACAUAAUCCUAGACAAAAAAGUCGCCUCAGGUGUGGUUUGACUAAUGAGAUGUACAUCUAAGGAUUUAGGAUGAUUCUUCACUUUGAUCACUAGCUAGGACAGUCAUAGUUUAUGAUCCAGUCAGUCUCUCUGCCUUACAGGUUUGACCUGGAUCCCCACGCCACACCCUGGGCUACCACCUGCUUGGGUCACAACCCAACCCUCCUUCCCCCAUGCAGUAUCCAGGUGAGUAGAAAGGCUCAGGUAUACAAAACAUUUAUUUCAUAUGUAUACAUGGACAGUUUUCUCUUCCUCAAAAGGGAGGCAUCAACCCUGCCUGAGGGAACAUGUCACUCCAUAUCUGGGAACGUGUUGUACAGUGUUCAGGACAGUGGAAGGCACAGUGCUUGAGCUCCUUAGGUCAAGAAGACUCACAAAGUCAGUCUGUGAUUGCUUAAGGCACAUUUUUAUUAUCUAAGGCAAAAUUAAAAGAUGUAAUCCUAUAUUCAACUGAUGCAUGACAUAUUUCACUGAUUAUCAUACAUGUACCCUUUGUGUAUUCUCAUUUCAAUAAGCAAUUUUGUGCUCUCAGUAAGUUGGCUGUUUAUGUUAAGAGUCCAGAGGCUGAUAAUAAUAAUGCCUGAAUAUCUUUCUGAUCGAGUUAAGAUUUUUUGCUUCAGGCAGAUAACCCAAAACUUUACAGUGACUAACUUGUCUUUCCAAUGAAAGACAAGUACAUACAAUUGAUAAUCUUCAAGGCAGCUUAGUCAAACUCUGGGAUCUCUGCAGUUUUUUAACAUAUAUCAAAUUCAUGUGUUUCUUUGUUAAAUUAAUAUCUAACAAAUUUGUUCGACAUAAUUUUUAAAGUAAAAAUGGAACACGAACACCACUUGAUGCUAAUGUAUUACAUGUCAACAGUGUCUGCCAGUUUGCCUCCCAGGGAGGAUGCGGCAGACACACUCAUCCAUGGAGUGAGGACAACAUUCUCUCAUGUCACAUAAGAAAACAAACAUUCCAGAGGGAAAGUGAGAGGGAGAGAGAUUAGUAGCAUGACAUAACCUAAUAAAUAAGAGGCAGAG